AUGAUGAAGAGAUGUAUUGUGUGUCUGGGAGGGGUAUAUGUUAAAACGACCUGGUUUGAUGAUGAUGAUGAAGAGAUGUAUUGUGUGUCUGGGAGGGGUAUAUGUUAAAACGACCUGGUUUGAUGAUGAUGAUGAUGAAGAUAUCUGGGAGUGUUAUGGUUUGUAUCUGCAACAAUACAUCAAACAGUGAGAAUAAAAGAUGACAUCUUGA